rnacentral:rRNA from 1 species
UUUGAUCUUGGCUCNGAAUNAACGCUGUCGGCGUGCCUAAUACAUGCAAAGUCGAGCGAACAGAUAAGGAGCUUGCUCCUUUGACGUUAAGCGNCGGAACGGGUGAGUACACGUGGGUAACCUACCUAUAAGACUGGGAUAACUUCGGGAAACCGGAGCUAAUACCGGAUAACAUUUGGAACCGCAUGGUUCUAAAGUGAAAGAUGGUUUUGCUAUCACUUAUAGAUGGACCCGCGCCGUAUUAGCUAGUUGGUAAGGUAACGGCUUACCAAGGCGACNAUACGUAGCCGACCUGAGAGGGUGAUCGGCCACACUGGAACUGAGACACGGUCCAGACUCCUACGGGAGGCAGCAGUAGGGAAUCUUCCUGCAAUGGGCGAAAGCCUGACGGAGCAACGCCGCGUGAGUGAUGAAGGGUUUCGGCUCGUAAAUACUCUGUUAUUAGGGAAGAACAAACGUGUAAGUAUACUGUGCACGUGCUUGUACGGUACCNAUNCAGAAANGNUUNNUCUAAAAAAC